rnacentral:rRNA from 1 species
AUGGUUGUGGCUUGGCCGCCGGGCACACAAUCCAUUGAUUCACACAUAAGGUCAAAACCGAGUCACGGUGUUCACAAUGCUGGGCAUUAUUUAUAUCGAAGGACGAGGAGGAAGAUUUGGAUGACCGUAACCACAAUGGCAAGGGCAGCAACAUGGUCGUCACCUGCAAUGCCGAUGGGUGCUGACAUUAUGAUGUUUGGUUUAUUUGUUGAAAGUUACAACCCAUGUUUCAUGAUUUAUUUGCCACCGGUUAAUCAUGGUAUUUUGAAGUGCUCUGACAAUUGCUUGCUGUCUGCAUCUCUUACUUUUCAACUUGCUGCAUAUACAGAUAUACACCAUUAG